GUUUUACCUUGACGAAUUGUAGUUUAAAGAAGUGUUUUCUGUUGGUGUUUUGGUAAAAGUUCUUUGGAAUAGGACAUCAUAGAGGGUGAGAAUCCCGUAUUUGACCAUUACUUCCAGCGUUGUGAUACACUUUCAAAGAGUCGGAUUGUUUGGGAAUGCAGUCCAAAAUGGGUGGUAAAUUUCAUCUAAAGCUAAAUAUUGGCGAGAGACCGAUAGCGAACAAGUACCGUGAGGGAAAGAUGAAAAGAACUUUGAAAAGAGAGUUAAACAGUACGUGAAAUUGUCAAAAGGGAAGCGUUUGACACCAGUGUUGUUUUCUCGAAAGUCAAUUAAAAAGUGUUGGAUUUUGUAUUGUUAAGACCUUAUCAGCUUACUGUACUCUUUUCCUGCACUUUUU
rnacentral:rRNA from 1 species